CUUUUGUGAAGCAAUCGAUGCAUUAUGUUUUGCCAGUUUAGCAAAUCUUCUUUCUAACCAACCUGACUAAACAUUUCUUUGAAUGCUGAAAAAAUGUGCAAGAGAUAAAAUAUUAAAAAGAAAACCACAUUCAAACAUACAGUAAAAUUUUCAAAAGGGGAUGAAACCUUCUCAUGUGCAUAAAUUGUUUUUUGUUUGGUGAUUUGAUGAUAUAAUAAAUCAGUGACUUUGAUUUUGGUGAAAUGACUCUAGAUGAAGUAUAUUACUUCAAAGGAAAACAAGGAAUAAAGAAAAUUAAAUGAAUUAUGUAAUAAACAUGAAUAGUAGGUUAAAGACAAGGGCAAAGAAAAAGGUAUGAAUCUUUUAAAUUUUCUUUCACUUUAAAAAGUAUCUGGGGUUCUCAUUGUGGCUCAACGGUAAUGAACCCAACUAGUGUCUAUAAGGACGAGGGUUAGAAGCCUGGCCUCACUCAGUGGGUCCCAUGAGCUGUGGUGUAGGUCGCAGACGUGACCUGGAUCCUGUAUUGCUGUGGCUGUGGUGUACGUCAGAAGCUGCAUCUCCAAUUCGAUUCCUAGCCUGGGAACUUCCAUAUGCGAAGGGUGCAGUCUUAAAAAGACAUUAAAAAAAAAAAAAAGAAAAGAAAAGAAAAGCUGAUGUGCUUAAUUGUUUGGCAAAUAAAUAUGCAAAGUUCUAUUUAGUGAUAAGAAUAUGCAAUUCAUAAAUAAAUAAGAGCAAGUGAAUUUUCCAGAUGUAAUUAAUAAUUACACGUGGACAUGGAUUUCUUAAAUUUCUUUGAAAAUUAAAAAAACUAUUUGUAGUUGUUCUUGUUUUUAUUUAUUUUGUUUUUGUUUUUGUUUUUUUCUUUCUUCCUCAGAAAAUAUUAUCUGGAGACAAAGAAUGUAAUUUUGUUGGAAAACAUUUCUCUUAUUAGAUGCAUGUACCUUUGCAAAACUGAUACUAGUAAUGGUCUUAAGGUCCUGUAGAUAAGCCCCUGGCUGUUUACUAAUUGAAUUGGAAAGAUCUUUCGUAAUUCAAUAUUUACUGAUCUUUACCGCUUUAAGUUACCCAAAUAAAUUAAGGAUACAACCAAACAAGCAAACUCAAGUGGAAAAUUGACUUUCUUCAGAUAAACUUUUUCUGGGCUACUAAAAAAAUUAAUGGGAUAUUAUUUAAUUAGCUAUUGAUUUAUUUUACCCUAGAUCUUUUAGAAAAUUGGGCAGAUAUUUAGUUUUCUAGUUGUACAUUUAUAGAAUUGGAAUUGGAACCAGUAUUUGUACUAGACAGUAUCAAAAGGAAAAUCUUGUUCAUUAAUGACUGUUGACAAAGAUAAAAGCUUCAUCAUUUCUGUUUAAAAUGAGAUUUGUCAGAGGCACCAGUCCCCACAGUAAAAUAAUAAGGAAGAAAUUGGGGAUGAAUUGGUAAAAGUGGGUAUCAUACACCCUAUUUUUCAAAGCAGGAAUCCCAAGUUGAUAUGGCAUAUCAUUGAAUGUUGGAAGCUACGAGGGAGGACAUUCUUUCUUAAGGAAGUAGAAGAAUGAUUAAGAGCCUUGUUGAGAUUCAGGGCUGGGGGUCUGGGAGGAGAAAGACAAUGGAAGGGUAUGUGUCCAGGCAAGGUGGGUGGCAGAAAAGACAUUCAAGCAGUUCUCCAUAACUAGGGCAGAGAGGGCAAGCCGGGAAGUGCUGAGAAAAGGGGCUGGGAAAGGAGAUCAGGACAGACCUGGCAAGUCCUGGAAUGGGUUGUUGGACCCUGGCCCAUUAUAAUAAAACUGUGAAGGGACUUAGAAGAAUCCUGGUAAUGGGACCGUAUUUGCUGUUGAGAAUGUUGCACUACUGGCAAGGCUGAGGGAAGAGGCCUUGGCCAUAGGAAGAAGCGCAGAAUAGGACAGACAAUUUGGUCAUUUAGGGAUUAUCCUUUCAAAAGCCCUCAGUGUGUGAGGGAGGUGAAACCAUGUCUGGAGAGAACCUCAUACUUCAGGGAAGAUUUCUGUUUUUCAGAUAGAAAAUUUGGACGUGUUUACUCUAUGAGCCAUUGGAGGGCAGAAUUGAAAACAGAAGAGAUGCAAUAAUCAAUCUGUAAACUGAGUAGUCAAAGGAGAGGGGCCUUGGAAACAGGCUAUGCUCAGUUAAGGUUUAGAGUGAAUGAAUAAAUAUACUUGUGGGUUUUCUGCUUUUCAGUGCAUGGUGGGUGAUGUCAUAUUAAUCCAUCAUACCUACAAGGCACGUGGCAAAGGACUUGAGGAGAAUCCCACACCCCCUGGCAUUUCGAAGGGGUACUUAAUGCUACUGGAAUUUUCCAACCUGGAUAGUUAAGUUCAUUAUAAAACAGGAUGAUUUCUAGAUUUUUUUUUUCUGAUUAUCAUAAUGCAAAAUUUCUAUAAGUACAUUUUCUUCAUCUUCCAUGCUUCUUUCCCCCUUAUUCCUGGUGUAUGUUCAGUCAUUUCUUGACCCAUCAUGAUCUUUGACAGAAGUAUUUUUAUAUCAUUCGAUGGCAUAUUACAGCUUGUUUUAUUAUGGUAGAUGUUUUUUCUUAAAAUUAUUUUUCAGUAAGAAAAAUACAAAUGAGUCAAGAAAUAGAAUGAGUCAAGUUAAUCUGAUGUUAAAGGUAAAAAUAAUAUAUAACCUGCUCUAGGGUUCAUCUUGGAUUAAUAAAUUGCAGAAGAUAAAUGAGUAGAAACAUCAAUUAUCAGCUUUCACUAGCCAUAGAACAUUCUCGAAGCAAGAUAAUAGAGUUUUAAUAACAAGUUAAUUAUAAGGGCCAGCACUUAAUUCCUUGGAGGACUGCUUUUCUGUUAAUCCUGGAAAGGAUUCAAAUAAGACCUAAUUCACUAAUCUCUUUCCCUCUUUUUUUUUUUUUAACCUCCUCUUCCUCCUUGUCCUCUGUGUAUUUGACUACAAAAGCAAUAAUAACAAGAGAAUUUGCUUUUGAAAAGAAGAAGAUGUACCUUGCCUUGUUGCUAUAUCUAUUUUCUUUUCUGUUACCUGGAAGUCUCCACCUAUGUGUAUAUAUAUUUUGCAUCAACGAAAUCAUAAUGUACAUAAGCUUUUGUAUUCUGAUAUUACACUAAAUAAUACUUUUUUUUUCAUUUCUAAGUGUGAAUAAAACUCAUUUGCCCUGAUACACUAUUAUAUGUUUAACUGUCCCCCUAUUGUUGAGAUAGAAGGUUUUACUUUUCUCUGCUUAAAUAUUUCAUACUAUAACAAAUAUCAUCUAAAGAUAAAUUCCUAGGAACAGAAAUAUUAGAUUAAUUAAUAGGAACAUAAUUGUAGUACUUGCUCUUUACUGACCUCUUGCUCCUUAAAUAUGAACCAAAUUGUAAAUAACAUCGCUGGCCCUGAAAUUGCAUCUGUUAUGACAUAAUUAUUUUAGCCUUCAGCAUUAUCAAGUUUAAUGGUUUAUUAUUCAGGAAGAGUUGAAAUGUUAUAUCAUUUCUCUUUUUUGAUUAUUAAUACAUUCAUUGUAAAAAAUUGUGAAUUUAAGACCAACAUAUAAAUGCUUAAUAAUUUAUGUAUUAGUAAACCAAAAAUAGCCUAUUAAUAAUGAAAACAUUGUUUAAUGUCUUUCAGGUUAAGAAAUAUUUAAUGGGUAGACAACAGCUUUAAAUAAACACACAAAAAAUGAAAUCAACUAAUUUAAAUUGUAGAUAAAGAGCAAUUUCUAAAAUAACUAUUAAAGAGUUGUUCCAAGAGGAAGUAUUACUUACUUUUAAAAAUGUUCCUCGAAUGUGUGAAAAAUAUUUAAAGUGUUAAUCUACUUUCCCGCUACUCAGAUAAUUGCUAAUCCCAGCCACUGAAAUUAAUGUCAACUUUGUUUAGAUCAGCCAUAAUUGUGUAGUUUAAUUCCAUCAUUUGAAAAUAAUAGCAUUCUUGGGUAUGUUUGUUCAUUAUAUAACUUUUUACAUUUAUUUUGAAUCUACCUCAUUUUGUGAUCCUAUAUUUAUUACUACUUUUCUAAAUUAUUUUUAAGAAUCAUAGAAUUUUUAAGAUCAUUUACAAAACUAGAAAAUACUUUAGUCGUCUUGGGUUAAUAAUAUAGCUCUCCCAAAGGUGGAGAAACAGAAAUAUAUUUAUAUAUAUUUGGAAAAUGUAUAUAUGAUAAUAUCCACCAAAGCAUUUUUCAAGGGUGCCAGUUUUAUAAAUUCAUGGUUUGGCCCAUAUUGAUAUAAAAUCUUAUUCCUUGUAUCUUUUUAGAGGAGAGAGCAAUUUGGUUGAAUCUUGGAUUUAGUUUUUGAAAUUUUGGGAAAUGAUUUUGUAAUCAAAUAAUGUGCUUCUAGAAUCAUGUAAGAUCAAUCCAAACUCAUAGAAAUUGAGACCACUUACAAAUAACCAAUUCUCAUUUUUUUAAAAUGGCAUUGUCUCCUUGAAAAUAUUUUGAAAUCCUUGUUUUUCUGAAUAUAUUACUUUGCAGUAUGAAUAAUAGCAGGGAAAAGUCCUUCGUACCAUCCCUGUAGUUAUUCCUCCUACUCAUUAUUUCUCCUACUCAUUCACCUUCUCUCUUCAAAUCAGAGGGAAUAGGCAGAUCCAGAAAAGAUUUAUGGUUGGGGUGGAGAGAAACUGCAUUCUUUGAAGAACAGAGAAUAAAAAUGCCAUAGACAGACUGGCCUUGAGAUUGGAG
rnacentral:lncRNA from 1 species